GCACCAACAUAUCCCUUUACCACUACCGACAUUUAAGCAUUCGCCUCCAUGAUACUUGCUGUCCAAUGCCUUGCAUGGUUCAUCGCAAGUAGAGCUCUUGGCCGCAGUACUACAUAAACCCAACCGGAGAUAUGAGGAGGAUGGAGAGACAAACGACUACUGCAGUAGCAACAACUGUGCUCAACCUUAAGCUCGCCAUUCUUUCUUUCUUUCUUUCUAAUUUGUUUUUCUCUCUAUCUUUGUGAUUGAUUUAUUUAGAUAAAAGGCGAGGUUUUAAUUUAUAGCACUGGCUAGGUAGUCGGGAGAGGACGAAUUUUGUGAAAAAGUAACAAUUUUUAAGUAUUUUAAGCUUAGUGAAAAAAGGGAAUCAAAGUUCUCUCUCUUCUCUCUCUAAAAUAUUUGAGAGAGGGAGAACAUCGUUGAUUUUCAGGCUUCUUUUGUGUUCUGUCCGAUAUUGAUUGGCUUACAUAGCAACAAUGAUCGGUUUUGUUGUCGGCACUUCCUUGCCGAGUUGGUAACGGCGCUUCUUUGCCGUGUUGGUAACGGCGCUUCCUUGCCGUAUUGGUAACGGCGCUUCCUUGCCGUGUUUACUGUCGGUGCUUCCUUGCCGUGUUUGCUGUCGGUGCUUCCUUGCCGUGUUUGCUGUCGGCGCUUCCUUGCCGGUGUUGUCUGAUCGUUACAUGUCCCGAGUGACUCGGGCUUUUGCCGGGUAUCUUCCAGCUCUGUCAGUGGAAAUAACGGUGUUUCGUCUGGCAAAUCCAGCUUCCAUAAGUGGUUUUGGCCAGAUUUUAUCGUUGCUUGUUGAUAGCUUGGUUCUUUCUAGUUUUCCUUUUCAAUAAAUUCAAUAAAUCUGAGUUGGUAUUUAGUUUUAGGUACUAGUUGCUUAAAAUUAAAUUCUGGCUUUUAUCUUUAGAGCUUCGAUUUGCAGGAAGAUCUAUCAAGAGAUUAAGUCUUGGGU